CACGGCCAUAGCCUCCCCGAAAACACCCUGUCCCGUCCGAUCCAGGCAGUUAACUGGGAGAGCGACCGGUUAGUACCAGGGUGGGGGACCACCUGGGAAUCCCGGUUGCCGUGGU